UAUUUUUUAUUUAGCUUUUUCUUCUCUCUCUCUCUUUUUAUGGAAAUUGAGUUUUUAUUUUGGAGAAUGAUGGGUAGGGAGGAAGAGAUGAAUGAGGUGCAGUGGUGGCAUUUGGAGAUGUUUUCAACCCCCGUUUUGAUACAAAUUGCCAUGUAUUUGCAGAAUAAACAUGCAGCAACACGUUCACAGUCCUGCUGAUAUUGAUCAAGCAUUCAGGGUCUCAAGAGAGGGUGAAAAUGAACGUAACAGUGCGUUUUCUAUUUAGAUAAGUCGUUGCUAUCUGUAAGGCUAGUCAAAUUUACAAUUAAAACUUCUAUGAUCCCUGUUCUGUCUGCAUUUAUUUCUUUAGAAUAAUUGAAUUCUCUCAUAAAACUGUUGGAUCAUGUACUUUUAGGUUGAUCUUGGAGACAUGGCUGAGCUAUUAUAUGCAAAAAAAAGAUGUUGAUAAGUUACCACCCGGGAAGCUAAGGUCUGGUCUGCUUUUGAAAGUUUUCUUCAGGCUCACCUGGUUGCUCCAAUGAGCCUGAAUUUGAAGAUCAUGCUUUUUACCCUUCAAGAUCUGCCAGCAUGAAUUUGAAGUUGCAUUUUGUAUGAUAGCACGUGAAGAGACAUUGCCGUUUAUAAUUUGUAUCAUUCUCGUCCUUUUACAGCAGAGUUCUAUUGCAAUCAACUAGAGCAUGGUUGAUGAUAUUGUUUUCUUCCCUAAUGCAAGGUUAAUACAGCUCAAUCUAAUUAUUGCAGCACGAAAGGAGUUGGUGGAACUGCUCCAAAUCUUUCAGAUGCCAAGACACUUGAUGAUGGUGCUGUUGUUCCCCUUGGGAAGCCCGAAGAGCAACAAGGCUCAAAGGUAGAACAAACAAAGUAUGACUCUGUGCAUUCGAAGAACACACUGACUCUGCACAUGUCAACUCAUAUGACUGCUAAUAACCUCUAUGAUAUUGUAUCACCGUGCGCUAUUUUCAUAAUUUAUUGUUGAAAUGUGAUUUGAAUCCUUUUUGCA